ACGACCAAAGGUAGUUGAAAAUACGGGAUCCCGUCCGCUCUCCCAUAGUCAAGCCACUAACCGGCGGAUUAGUAGUUGGGUCGGUGACGACCAGCGAAUCCCCGCUGUUGUAUGUU
rnacentral:rRNA from 1 species